CACGUGCGCGAGUCAUGGGGUUCUACGAAACCUAAAGGCGCAAUGAAAGUGAAGGCCUUCCGCAUGGUGGGCUCAGGUGGGAUCCCGGGGCAUCCGCGCCCGGGCGCACCACCGGCCCGUCUCGGUCAUAACUGACGAGGCGGAGCAAGAGCGUACGCGUUGGGACCCGAAAGAUGGUGAACUAUGCCUGAGUAGGUCGAAGCCAGAGGAAACUCUGGUGGAGGACCGUAGCGAUUCUGACGUGCAAAUCGAUCGUCAAACU
rnacentral:rRNA from 1 species